AAAGAGAAGAGAGAGAAUGAUUUUUGUGCCCCGAACUGCAGAAAUGAGGAGGGUAUCUACACUCUUUAAAAGAGAGAAGAUAUGCGGAACUAUUCAUUAUGAACAGUAGGACAGUGUGACACCGGAUAUACCCUUGCUUUGCUUAGUUAUUUACGGUCUUGCCAUUGUAUGCUAACUUUUAUUGCUGUCCACUUCAUCUCUGUCCUUUUUUUUCUUUUCUUUUUCCCUGAAAUCACUUGCCAUCACUCAUUUUUCCCAUCUUCUUUUCUCUUUCCUUUUUUUUUUUCUGUUUGGUCUCCAUCGAAAGUCUUUCCGAGCUUCAUCUGCUGAAUGCUUUGUCUUUGGUGAAGGUGUCAGUGAAGGUCCUAAGCAAAGAGCAAGUAGAUGCUUUAUCAGCAGAAUUGCAGGAACGUGCUUCGAUCACAGCAAUUUAAAGGGACGUGCUGAAUCAAUUUAAAGGAACGUGCUGAAUGUAUGUGUUGAAAAAGAUUCGUCUAGCUCGCCAAACAGAAAGAACUAAAAGAUCUGCUCAUCAGAAGGAUUCGUUGCGUGCGUAGUUGUUCAUUAUAUAUAGGGAUGGAAAAUGCAAAGGAAAUUGAAAUUGCAAUUGCGCAUUAUAAAAGUUUUGUAGAGUUCAUAUGCGCAUCAUGGAGGUUCUGAAACUGGGAGUUUUGGGGAUGGAACAAGAGAUUUAUCAGAGGAAGGUUGCCGUUGAUUUGGUGUUGAAAAAUGCAGCAAAUGGAGUGCAGAGUGCAAUUGAUCAAGCACCUAUUGUGGUGGAAGACCUCGUUAGAUACCUAAAUUGGGUUGAGCAGGUUACUAAUGAAGGUAGUUCGCAGUUUAAAAGAUUAGAAGAAGAUAAGAAAAAAGAAAAGGAGACACUUAAUUCAGUUCUAAUGAAGUAUAACAAGAGGGCAAUUUAUAGGAGUCAAUGAAUUAUUUUGGAUAUGUGGUUUGUUGUGGUAGUAGAUAGCGUAGUAAAUGUUCCAAUUAUAGUUUUUAAAGGAAGUAAUGUAUUUUUUAUUUUGAAUGUUGUAUAUAGGAAGCUGGGAGUUAGUUAUUUUGAAGGUGGUUGCUAUUUAGAUAUUGGUAGGAGGUUAAAUAGAUUGCAACUUGUGUAAACUCCCGAAUUUUGUUGUGUUUUUUGAAUGAUAAUUAUGAUAUCAAUGAAAUUGUUAUGGUUUAUGAGAUUUGUAGUUGGAUUGAAGUUAAUCUUUUGAUUGGUUUGUUAAUAGAAGAUACAAAUUCCUUUUCUCUCUUUUCUUUAUUCUGUAAAGAGUGGUAAAUAAUUACUAGAAUGAUAUAAUAUAAUAAAUUAAUAGAUACCGUUUAAUAGAUUACAUUUUGCUUCGGGCUUUUAAGUUGUGAUACAUUUGUUAGUAAGGGUAGUUAAUCUUGUUUAAUAGGAAAAUUUUUUAA